rnacentral:rRNA from 1 species
AUUGAACGCUGGCGGCAUGCCUUACACAUGCAAGUCGAACGGCAGCACGGGAGCAAUCCUGGUGGCGAGUGGCGAACGGGUGAGUAAUGUAUCGGAACGUACCUUUCAGCGGGGGAUAACGUAGCGAAAGUUACGCUAAUACCGCAUAUUCUGUGAGCAGGAAAGCAGGGGAUCGCAAGACCUUGCGCUGAUUGAGCGGCCGAUAUCAGAUUAGCUAGUUGGUGAGGUAAAGGCUCACCAAGGCGACGAUCUGUAGCGGGUCUGAGAGGAUGAUCCGCCACACUGGAACUGAGACACGGUCCAGACUCCUACGGGAGGCAGCAGUGGGGAAUUUUGGACAAUGGGCGCAAGCCUGAUCCAGCCAUGCCGCGUGAGUGAAGAAGGCCUCGGUUG